rnacentral:misc_RNA from 1 species
GAUGAAGAACGUAGCGAAAUGCGAUAAGUAGUGUGAAUUGCAGAAUUCAGUGAAUCAUCGAAUCUUUGAACGCACAUUGCGCCCCUUGGUAUUCCAUGGGGCAUGCCUGUUCGAGCGUCAUUUGUACCUUCAAGCUCUGCUUGGUGUUGGGUGUUUGUCUCGCCUCUGCGUGUAGACUCGCCUCAAAACAAUUGGCAGCCGGCGUAUUGAUUUCGGAGCGCAGUACAUCUCGCGCUUUGCACUCAUAACGACGACGUCCAAAAGUACAUUUUUACACUCGUGACCUCGGAUCAGGUAGGGAUACCCGCUGAACUUAAGCAUAUCAAUAACGGAGGA